rnacentral:misc_RNA from 1 species
GAUGAAGAACGUAGCGAAAUGCGAUACGUAAUGUGAAUUGCAGAAUUCAGUGAAUCAUCGAAUCUUUGAACGCACAUUGCGCCCGCCAGUAUUCUGGCGGGCAUGCCUGUCCGAGCGUCAUUUCAACCCUCAAGCCCCCGGGCUUGGUGUUGGAGAUCGGCGAGCCCCCCGGGGCGCGCCGUCUCCCAAAUAUAGUGGCGGUCCCGCUGUAGCUUCCUCUGCGUAGUAGCACACCUCGCACUGGGAAACAGCGUGGCCACGCCGUAAAACCCCCCACUUCUGAAAGGUUGACCUCGGAUCAGGUAGGAAUACCCGCUGAACUUAAGCAUAUUAAUAAGCGGAGGA